rnacentral:rRNA from 1 species
AUUGAACGCUGGCGGCAUGCCUUACACAUGCAAGUCGAACGGCAGCACGGGGGCAACCCUGGUGGCGAGUGGCGAACGGGUGAGUACUGCAUCGGAAUGUACCCAGUAGUGGGGGAUAACUAGUCGAAAGACUAGCUAAUACCGCAUACGCACUGAGGUGGAAAGCGGGGGAUCGCAAGACCUCGCGCUAUUGGAGCAGCCGAUGCCCGAUUAGGUAGUUGGUGGGGUAAAAGCCUACCAAGCCGACGAUCGGUAACUGGUCUGAGAGGACGACCAGUCACACUGGGACUGAGACACGGCCCAGACUCCUACGGGAGGCAGCAGUGGGGAAUUUUGGACAAUGGGGGAAACCCUGAUCCAGCAACGCCGCGUGAGGGAUGACGGCCUUCGGGUUGUAAACCUCUUUCAGUAGGGACGAAGCGAAAGUGACGGUACCUACAGAAGAAGGACCGGCCAACUACGUG